rnacentral:tRNA from 1 species
UAAACCUUAAGUUAUACAAAACUAUGAGUCUUCCAAACUUUUUAAAAGCUUAGUCUUAGGUUUAA